rnacentral:antisense_RNA from 1 species
UCAUAACUGGAUCUUUCCAUUACUUGGUAGCACACAGGAGGAUUUGUUGGAGUGGUUUUUUGUUUUGUUUUGUUCUGCUACUAUUAAGCAAGAUUGCUUCAUAAUCCUUUAAGGGUUUUUUUAGCCAAGUCUUAUUUACAUAUCCUGGCCAGCAAGCACGUGAUUAACCCAAGGAUGUUGGAGGGAAGGCAGAUGCUACAUCUGAAAAAAAUCUGAUUAUGUUUCAUUCUGGAGACACAAACAGCCGAGCUGUCAAAAGGACAACAGUCUCUUGGGCCAACAUGACACCAAACUCUCAAACUCUGGAGACCCUCAGAGACAAGGAGGAGGAGCUGCUGAGUUCAAACAAGAACAAUGAAUUCCUCAAGCCCAAGCAAGAAUGUGACAAGGUGUCAACAAAGCCAACCAGGAAGGUGAUGUAUGGCCCAUAAAUCACUUCACAAACCAGGGCUGCAAAGAAAGCACCCAGCAACCCAGAGCCCCGAGUGUGAGUUUUUUCUACUCCUAAACCUUCACACCCCCCACAUCCACCCUCCUCCAGCACCUCACUGACUGCUCACCUGUCACUCCUCCACUGACCAAUUGGCCUACUCAUGGGUGUCAAGAUGGGAAGGCACAUGUUCCCAUCUUGACAGCAGCAGAAAGAAAAAUGGCAGCAGAAGGAAAACAGCAGCAGAAAGAAAAAUUUGACUCAGAUGGGUUGAGAGGGCAAUGGCAAGCAAUCUUGGUACAUGUCAGCUGCAUCUCAG